rnacentral:rRNA from 1 species
CACGGGGGGAACGAGCGUUGUUCGGAUUUACUGGGCGUAAAGGGUGCGUAGGCGGGUUGGCAAGUCGGGUGUGAAAUUCCAUGGCUUAACCAUGGAUCUGCAUUCGAAACUGUUGAUCUUGAGUACUGGAGAGGUGAGUGGAAUUCUCGGUGUAGCGGUGAAAUGCGUAGAUAUCGAGAGGAACACCGUUGGCGAAGGCGGCUCACUGGACAGAUACUGACGCUGAGGCACGAAGGUCGGGGGAGCAAACAGG